rnacentral:lncRNA from 1 species
GCAGGUUACAUGGUGGUAUUGUUGCAUUUUUCACACAUCAGAAGAACAGUGGUGCUUAAAGCUAACAUUGUUUUCUAGUUAAGCAUUUUCAAUUUGAUUUCCAAUAUCAGAAGAAAUGGAUGAAACUGACAUUGUUUUCUGUUUAAAUAUUGUUUUUCUAUUUGACUUAACAAACUUGUCUGUUAUCUUUGGCUUAGUGAUACUACCCAGCGUGUGUGAUAAUAGAGAUUGGAAAAGGGCUAUUUAAAAAAGUCCUUAGCAGACUUAGCUUAUGGCAAAAUUUACAACAUUUAGCCUAAUACAACACCCAAUAAAUACAUCACUGUAUUUCUACAAUACUGAUGUUUCACUGAAGAUCUUGGAAGUAGGUUUUGUGCUUUGUUACAGUCGGCGUCCUUGGAGCUGGG